AUUGAACGCUGGCGGCAGGCCUAACACAUGCAAGUCGAACGAGUGGCGGACGGGUGAGUAAUGUCUGGGACACUGCCCGAUGGAGGGGGAUAACUACUGGAAACGAUAGCUAAUACCGCAUACCAUCGGAUGUGCCCAGAUGGGAUUAGCUAGUAGGUGGGGUAACGGCUCACCUAGGCGACGAUCCCUAGCUGGUCUGAGAGGAGGACCAGCCACACGGGAACUGAGACACGGUCCAGACUCCUACGGGAGGCAGCAGUGGGGAAUAUUGCACAAUGGGCGCAAGCCUGAGACAGCCAUGCCGCGUGUAUGAAGAAGGCCUUCGGGUUGUAAAGUACUUUCAGCGGGGAGGCGUUACCCGCAGAAGAAGCACCGGCUAACUCCGUGCCAGCAGCCGCGGUAAUAC
rnacentral:rRNA from 1 species